rnacentral:tRNA from 1 species
AUUUAUAUAGUUUAUAAUAAAACAUUACAUUUUCAUUGUAAAAAUAAAAUWAAUAAUUUUUAUAAAUA